UACGUAGGGAGCAAGCGUUGUCCGGAAUCAUUGGGCGUAAAGCGCGCGUAGGCGGCCCUGUAAGUCCGUUGUGAAAGUCAAAGGCUCAACCUUUGAAAGCCGAUGGAUACUGCAGGGCUAGAGUCCGGAAGAGGCGAGUGGAAUUCCUGGUGUAGCGGUGGAAUGCGCAGAUAUCGGGAAGAACACCCGUGGCGAAGGCGGUUCUCUGGGACGGUACUGACGCUGAGACGCGAAAGCGUGGGGAGCGAACAGG
rnacentral:rRNA from 1 species